UCUUCGGUAUAAAGACUGAUAAGGACUUGCUUUCUCCUCUGAACUGUAUUAUGGGUUGCUAAACGUCUGCCAUAUCAGUAGGUUGUCUCAUCUAUUGUUGUAAAUGAAACAGGUGUAAAGGCAAAAGUGACUCAACACUCGUUCGUGAAAACAUGAAUCAGUUGAAACAAAGUAUGAAAAGCAAAGAACAGAAUUCACAAAUAGCGUGAUAGGGAAAGACUGCGUGAAAUAGGGCGAAGAGUGAAAACGCAUAACCUGUGUAAAUACGUCAAUUUUGUGUCUCCUCCCAGAAACGAUAUGUAAUCAAUCAAAAUCGAAGUGAAUGAAUAACUUAAGGGUCCCAAUUUUCUGGUUUUGUUACUUACCACACUUAAGAGAUGUGAAAUUAGAAUACCACCUAUAGAAUCCAAAAGAGUACCUACGGUCCAGUUUUUUCUUACUUUGAAGGUAAGUUA